UGUGUUCUGUAAAGGAAGUUAAAAAUUUAAAGCAUUAAUAAAUUACCUUUUGUUUCAUGGUACUAUGAAUAUAUCAGUAUAGGUAUGUCCGGAAUUCUUGGUUUAUGGUAGACAAAAGUAUAUUGUAGCAAAAAUUAUAUAUGUUUAUUUGGUAAUUAGAAUUUUAUCGACUUGAAAGGUAUCUGAUUUUUGUUAAAGAUUUUCUAGAAGAGCUAGAAAAUUUAUUUCAAUUUUGAAGUUAAAUAUAUUUUGGGCUUUGUAAUGGUCAUAAUUUAAGUGUGUUAUUAUUUUUAUUUAUAAUAAUGAUUUUUGUAUUAUGAUAUAAAAAUUUUAUUUUUAAGAUUUUAAAAGUUUGUAGUAAUUAGUAGAGGUUUUGUAGAUUCUAGGUGACUCAAUAUAUUGCUAAAUGUUUAACAAAAACAUUUUUUUAUAGUUAUAAAAUAUGGUCUGCCCACUGUAGAAUAAAUGGCUGCGGUAUUUUAACUGUGCUAAGGUAGCAUAAUAAUUUGUCUUUUAAUUGGGGGCUUGUAUGAAAGGCUGUAUAGUAAAAUAAUUUCUAGAUUUUAGGUAUUGAAUUUGGAGUUUAAGUAAGAAUACUUAAAUGUUUAUAAAAGACGAUAAGACCCUAAAAGCUUUAUUUUAUUAUGUUAAUUACUUAGUUUAUAUUUUUAAUGAUUAAGAUUGAUAUUUUUAACUGGGGUAGUUUCUUUGUGUUUAUAAAAUAGAGAUGGACUUAAAUUAGGGUUUGUGAACCUUCAGAUAAGGGUACUAGAUUUAGUUACUUUAGGGAUAACAGCAUGAUAGUUUUGGAGAGACCUUAUUGAUAAAAAAGCUUGUGACCUCGAUGUUGAAUUAAAAAGUCUUGCUGGAGCAGCGUUUAGUUAAGAUGGUUUGUUCAACCAUUAAAUUUUUACAUGAUUUGAGUUCAAACCGGUUUAAGCCAGGUUGGUUUCUAUCUUUAUAUAGUGUUAAGGUGUUUGUAGUACGAGAGGGCCCAAGCGC
rnacentral:rRNA from 1 species